UACGGAGGGUCCGAGCGUUAUCCGGAUUCAUUGGGUUUAAAGGGUGCGUAGGCGGCUUUAUAAGUCAGUAGUGAAAGUCAAUGGCUCAACCAUUGAAGUGCUAUUGAAACUGUAGAGCUAGAAUUCUGAUGGAGUGGGCGGAAUGUGUUGUGUAGCGGUGAAAUGCAUAGAUAUAACACAGAACACCGAUCGCGAAGGCAGCUCACUAAGGAGAGAUUGACGCUGAUGCACGAAAGCGUGGGGAGCGAACAGG
rnacentral:rRNA from 1 species